UACGGAGGGCGCAAGCGUUAUCCGGAUUUACUGGGCUUAAAGGGCGGGCAGGCGGAUAUGUAAGUCUGUGGUGAAAUCUCUAGGCUUAACCUGGAAAUUGCCGUUGAUACUAUAUAUCUUGAAUGCUGUGGAGGUAAGCGGAAUAUGUCAUGUAGCGGUGAAAUGCGUAGAUAUGACAUAGAACACCCAAUGCGAAGGCAGCUUACUGCACGAGCAUUGACGCUGAGGCACGAAAGCGUGGGGAGCAAACAGG
rnacentral:rRNA from 1 species